rnacentral:rRNA from 1 species
CGCACGGGUGCGUAACGCGUAUGCAACCUACCCCACAGUGGGGGACAGUCGCGGGAAACUGCGAAUAAUACCCCGUACGCUCCUGGGAACACCUGUUUUCGGGAGGAAAGCUUAGGCGUUGUGGGAUGGGCAUGCGUCUGAUUAGCUAGUUGGUGAGGUAAUGGCUCACCAAGGCGACGAUCAGUAACUGGUCUGAGAGGAUGAUCAGUCACACGGGCACUGAGACACGGGCCCGACUCCUACGGGAGGCAGCAGUAAGGAAUAUUGGUCAAUGGGGGCAACCCUGAACCAGCCAUGCCGCGUGGUGGAUGACGGCCCUCUGGGUUGUAAACACCUUUUAUGCGAGACUAAUAUCCGGCUAUACGCCGGAUUGCAGGUACCGCAUGAAUAAGCACCGGCUAACUACGUGCCAGCAGCCGCGGUAAUACGUAGGGUGCAAGCGUUGUCCGGAUUUAUUGGGUUUAAAGGGUGCGUAGGCGGCGUAUUGAGUUCGUGGUGAAAUCGCCCGGCUCAACCGGGUACCCGCCAUGGAUACUGGUAUGCUUGAGUGCGUCCGAGGAGGUUAGAACGCGUGGUGUAGCGGUGAAAUGCAUAGAUAUCACGCAGAAUACCGAUUGCGAAGGCAGACCUCUGGGGCGUAACUGACGCUGAGGCACGAAAGCGUGG